UCGCGGUCGCACGCGCAGUUGGUCUUUGGUACUGUGGCGGUGUGGGUGAGUUGGGUGCCGGUGGAGUGCUGUUGGUCCUCAGAAUCCCCGCGUAGCCGCUGCCUCCUGCUGCCCUCGCCAUGUUUCUCACCCGGUCUGAGUACGACAGGGGCGUGAAUACUUUUUCUCCCGAAGGAAGAUUAUUUCAAGUGGAGUAUGCCAUUGAGGCUAUCAAGCUUGGUUCUACAGCCAUUGGGAUCCAGACAUCAGAGGGUGUGUGCCUAGCUGUGGAGAAGAGAAUUACUUCCCCACUGAUGGAGCCCAGCAGCAUUGAGAAAAUUGUAGAGAUUGAUGCUCACAUAGGUUGUGCCAUGAGUGGGCUAAUUGCUGAUGCUAAGACUUUAAUUGAUAAAGCCAGAGUGGAGACACAGAACCACUGGUUCACCUACAAUGAGACAAUGACAGUGGAGAGUGUGACCCAAGCUGUGUCCAAUCUGGCUCUCCAGUUUGGAGAAGAAGACGCAGAUCCAGGUGCCAUGUCUCGUCCCUUUGGAGUAGCAUUGUUAUUUGGAGGAGUUGAUGAGAAAGGACCUCAGCUGUUUCAUAUGGAUCCAUCUGGGACCUUUGUACAGUGUGAUGCUCGUGCAAUUGGCUCUGCUUCAGAGGGCGCCCAAAGCUCCUUGCAAGAAGUUUACCACAAGUCUAUGACUUUGAAAGAAGCCAUCAAGUCUUCACUGAUCAUCCUCAAACAAGUAAUGGAGGAGAAGCUGAAUGCAACAAACAUUGAGAUGAAGAAAUAGAGGCACAGAGUGGCCAAGUAACCUGAAGUCACACACACAAGCUCAACUUUUAAGUAUUUAAAUAUACUUCAAAUAUAAUUCUAAAGGAGUCUUUAACAGAAAAAAAUACUGACUCUGUGUACUUUGCCGCUGCUUUUGUGAUCCCUGUUGAAGUGACUUCAAGAAGUGACAGUGAUGCCAGGCAUUUGGUUAAGUAUGAUGUGCUAGCCACAGUGCAGCCUGGCCAGAAUUUCCACAUGUUCACAAAGGAAGAACUUGAAGAGGUUAUCAAGGACAUUUAAGGAAGCCUGAUUCUCAGAACUUCUCUGGGACAAUUUCAGUUCUUAAUAAUGUCCAUAAAUUUUAUUUCCAACUCCUGAUCCUUGGAAAAUCUCCAUUGUAUGUGCAUUUUUUUAAUGAUGUCUGUACAUAAAGGCAGUUCUGAAAUAAAGAAAAUUUUAAAA